UUAAGAGACAGGUGAGUCAUCGAAUCUUUGAACGCACAUUGCGCCCUUUGGUAUUCCAAAGGGCAUGCCUGUUCGAGCGUCAUUUGUACCCUCAAGCUUUGCUUGGUGUUGGGCGUCUUGUCUCCAGUUCGCUGGAGACUCGCCUUAAAGUAAUUGGCAGCCGGCCUACUGGUUUCGGAGCGCAGCACAAGUCGCGCUCUCUUCCAGCCAAGGUCAGCAUCCACAAAGCCUUUUUUCAACUUUUGACCUCGGAUCAGGUAGGGAUACCCGCUGAACUUAAGCAUAUCAAUAAGCGGAGGA
rnacentral:misc_RNA from 1 species